AGAGUUUGAUCCUGGCUCAGGAUGAACGCUAGCUACAGGCUUAACACAUGCAAGUCGAGGGGAAACGACAUCGAAAGCUUGCUUUUGAUGGGCGUCGACCGGCGCACGGGUGAGUAACGCGUAUCCAACCUGCCCACCACUUGGGGAUAACCUUGCGAAAGUAAGACUAAUACCCAAUGAUAUCUCUAGAAGACAUCUGAAAGAGAUUAAAGAUUUAUCGGUGAUGGAUGGGGAUGCGUCUGAUUAGCUUGUUGGCGGGGUAACGGCCCACCAAGGCUACGAUCAGUAGGGGUUCUGAGAGGAAGGUCCCCCACAUUGGAACUGAGACACGGUCCAAACUCCUACGGGAGGCAGCAGUGAGGAAUAUUGGUCAAUGGACGAGAGUCUGAACCAGCCAAGUAGCGUGCAGGAUGACGGCCCUAUGGGUUGUAAACUGCUUUUAUAAGGGAAUAAAGUGAGUCUCGUGAGACUUUUUGCAUGUACCUUAUGAAUAAGGACCGGCUAAUUCCGUGCCAGCAGCCGCGGUAAUACGGAAGGUCCGGGCGUUAUCCGGAUUUAUUGGGUUUAAAGGGAGCGUAGGCCGGAGAUUAAGCGUGUUGUGAAAUGUAGACGCUCAACGUCUGCACUGCAGCGCGAACUGGUUUCCUUGAGUACGCACAAAGUGGGCGGAAUUCGUGGUGUAGCGGUGAAAUGCUUAGAUAUCACGAAGAACUCCGAUUGCGAAGGCAGCUCACUGGAGCGCAACUGACGCUGAAGCUCGAAAGUGCGGGUAUCGAACAGGAUUAGAUACCCUGGUAGUCCGCACGGUAAACGAUGGAUGCCCGCUGUUGGUCUGAAUAGGUCAGCGGCCAAGCGAAAGCAUUAAGCAUCCCACCUGGGGAGUACGCCGGCAACGGUGAAACUCAAAUGAAUUGACGG
rnacentral:rRNA from 1 species